rnacentral:rRNA from 1 species
GACAGAGGGUGCAAACGUUGUUCGGAAUUACUGGGCGUAAAGCGUGUGUCAGGCGGCCGCGACAGUCGGAUGUGAAAGCCCUGGGCUCAACUCAGGAAGUGCACCCGAUACUACGUGGCUCGAGUACCGGAGAGGUUGGUGGAAUUCUCGGUGUAGAGGUGAAAUUCGUAGAUAUCGAGAGGAACACCUGUGGCGAAGGCGGCCAACUGGACGAGUACUGACGCUGAGACACGAAGACGUGGGGAGCAAACAGG